GCUUACGGCCAUACCUCUCUGGCUCCGCCUGAUCUCGUCUGAUCUCAGAAGCUAAGCAGAGUAGGGCCUGGGUUAGUACUUGGAUGUAAGACCGCCUUGGGAAAUCCCAUGUGCCGUAAGCU
ensembl:rRNA 5S_rRNA 5S ribosomal RNA